rnacentral:misc_RNA from 1 species
GUCCGUCUAUGCUCCUCCAGUCCAAAUACAUCUCUCUUUCUUUCUUUCUCUGCGAGAACGGAGGAAAGGAAAAAGAUGGAAAGAAACGAGCUCUACAUAAGCGUACCCAAUCUCUUCCGGUGCCCGAUAUCUCUCGACGUAAUGAAGUCUCCCGUUAGUCUCUGCACCGGCGUCACAUACGAUCGUUCCAGUAUCCAGCACUGGCUUGACUCCGGGCACGACACCUGUCCCGCCACCAUGCAGAUCCUCGCCACCAAGGAUUUCGUUCCCAACCUCACUCUCCAUCGUCUUAUCAACCUCUGGGCACAGUCCUCCACUCGCCUCCCUGACUCCGGCG